rnacentral:misc_RNA from 1 species
AAGUCGUAACAAGGUAACCGUAGGUGAACCUGCGGUUGGAUCAUUAGUGGUUUUUACGUAGCGCUGUUGUAGUGUUUCUGGGGGGUUCUUGGGGUUGGUCUUUGAGUUUGUUGUUGGUUGUUUGUCUGUUUGUGCGAUGUCUUGUGCCUUGCCUUGUGCGGUGCCUUGUGCGGUGCCUGGCAGUACAAACGAUCGACGGCAACACUCGGACCAGACCCAAGACCUUUACAGACAAUAGACGUCUUUGCUUGCUUUGAUGAAACCAAAUCAAAAACAACUUUUGACAACGGAUCUCUUGGCUCUC